rnacentral:rRNA from 1 species
UACGAAGGGUGCAAGCGUUACUCGGAAUUACUGGGCGUAAAGCGUGCGUAGGUGGUUUGUUAAGUCAGAUGUGAAAGCCCCGGGCUCAACCUGGGAAUUGCAUUUGAUACUGGCAGACUAGAGUGCGGUAGAGGAGAGUGGAAUUCCCGGUGUAGCAGUGAAAUGCGUAGAGAUCGGGAGGAACAUCAGUUGCGAAGGCGGCUCUCUGGACCAGCACUGACACUGAGGCACGAAAGCGUGGGGAGCAAACAGGAUUAGAUACCCUGGUAGUCCACGCCCUAAACGAUGCGAACUGGACGUUGGGAUCAAUUGAGAUUUCAGUGUCGAAGCUAACGCGUUAAGUUCGCCGCCUGGGGAGUACGGUCGCAAGACUG